UACGUAGGGCGCAAGCGUUUGUCCGGAAUUAUUGGGCGUAAAGGGCGCGUAGGCGGCCUGGCAAGUGGAAGGUGAAAUCCCUCGGCUUAACCGAGGAACUGCCCUCCAAACUGCUUGGCUUGAGUCCGGGAGAGGUGAGUGGAAUUCCCAGUGUAGCGGUGAAAUGCGUAGAUAUUGGGAGGAACACCAGUGGCGAAGGCGGCUCACUGGACCGGAACUGACGCUGAGGCGCGAAAGCGUGGGGAGCAAACGGG
rnacentral:rRNA from 1 species